GACGAACGCUGGCGGCGUGCUUAACACAUGCAAGUCGAGCGGUAAGGCCCCUUCGGGGGUACACGAGCGGCGAACGGGUGAGUAACACGUGAGCAACCUACCCUCAACUUCGGGAUAAGCCUCGGAAACGGGGUCUAAUACCGGAUAUCACUUUCCACCUCAUGGUGGGGGGUUGAAAGUUCUGGCGGUUGGGGAUGGGCUCGCGGCCUAUCAGCUUGUUGGUGGGGUAAUGGCCUACCAAGGCGUCGACGGGUAGCCGGCCUGAGAGGGCGACCGGCCACACUGGGACUGAGACACGGCCCAGACUCCUACGGGAGGCAGCAGUGGGGAAUAUUGCGCAAUGGACGAAAGUCUGACGCAGCAACGCCGCGUGAGGGAUGACGGCCU
rnacentral:rRNA from 1 species